rnacentral:rRNA from 1 species
UACGUAGGGUCCGAGCGUUGUCCGGAAUUAUUGGGCGUAAAGAGCUCGUAGGCGGUCUGUCGCGUCUGCUGUGAAAACUCAGGGCUUAACCCUGAGCUUGCAGUGGGUACGGGCAGACUAGAGUGCGGUAGGGGAGACUGGAAUUCCUGGUGUAGCGGUGAAAUGCGCAGAUAUCAGGAGGAACACCGGUGGCGAAGGCGGGUCUCUGGGCCGAUACUGACGUGGAGGAGCGAAAGCGUCGGGGAGCGAACAGG